rnacentral:miRNA from 1 species
AUAGCUCUUUCAAUGGUACUGC